AGAGAGGGAGCUUGCUUCCUUGAUCGAGUGGCGAACGGGUGAGUAACGCGUGAGGAACCUGCCUCAAAGAGGGGGACAACAGUUGGAAACGACUGCUAAUACCGCAUAAGCCCACGGUGCCGCAUGGCACAGAGGGAAAAGGAGCAAUCCGCUUUGAGAUGGCCUCGCGUCCGAUUAGCUAGUUGGUGAGGUAACGGCCCACCAAGGCGACGAUCGGUAGCCGGACUGAGAGGUUGAACGGCCACAUUGGGACUGAGACACGGCCCAGACUCC
rnacentral:rRNA from 1 species